UUCUCUCCAGAGUGGAUCCUGAGUACGGCGGAACACGUGAAAUUCCGUCGGAAUCCGGGAGGACCAUCUCCCAAGGCUAAAUACUCCCUAGUGACCGAUAGUGAACCAGUACCGUGAGGGAAAGGUGAAAAGCACCCCGGAAGGGGAGUGAAAUAGAUCCUGAAACCGUGUGCCUACAAGUAGUCAGAGCCCGUUAACGGGUGAUGGCGUGCCUUUUGUAGAAUGAACCGGCGAGUUACGAUCCCGUGCAAGGUUAAGCAGAAGAUGCGGAGCCGCAGCGAAAGCGAGUCUGAAUAGGGCGCAUGAGUACGUGGUCGUAGACCCGAAACCAGGUGAUCUACCCAUGUCCAGGGUGAAGUUCAGGUAACACUGAAUGGAGGCCCGAACCCACGCACGUUGAAAAGUGCGGGGAUGAGGUGUGGGUAGGGGUGAAAUGCCAAUCGAACCUGGAGAUAGCUGGUUCUCUCCGAAAUAGCUUUAGGGCUAGCCUCAAGGUAAGAGUCUCGGAGGUAGAGCACUGAUUGGACUAGGGGCCCCUACCGGGUUACCGAAUUCAGUCAAACUCCGAAUGCCGAUGACUUAUCCUUGGGAGUCAGACUGCGAGUGAUAAGAUCCGUAGUCGAAAGGGAAACAGCCCAGACCGCCAGCUAAGGUCCCAAAGUAUACGUUAAGUGGAAAAGGAUGUGGAGUUGCUUAGACAACCAGGAUGUUGGCUUAGAAGCAGCCACCAUUUAAAGAGUGCGUAAUAGCUCACUGGUCGAGUGACUCUGCGCCGAAAAUGUACCGGGGCUAAACGUAUCACCGAAGCUGCGGACUGUUCUUACGAACAGUGGUAGGAGAGCGUUCUAAGGGCUGUGAAGCCAGACCGGAAGGACUGGUGGAGCGCUUAGAAGUGAGAAUGCCGGUAUGAGUAGCGAAAGACGGGUGAGAAUCCCGUCCACCGAAUGCCUAAGGUUUCCUGAGGAAGGCUCGUCCGCUCAGGGUUAGUCGGGACCUAAGCCGAGGCCGAAAGGCGUAGGCGAUGGACAACAGGUUGAUAUUCCUGUACCACCUCCUCACCAUUUGAGCAAUGGGGGGACGCAGGAGGAUAGGGUAAGCGCGGUAUUGGAUAUCCGCGUCCAAGCAGUUAGGCUGGGAAAUAGGCAAAUCCGUUUCCCGU
rnacentral:rRNA from 1 species